AUUUUAGCGAAGGAUAUCUUGAGGACUGCAUUUGUCAGAUGAGGGAUGUUGCGGAAAACGACAUCCGAA
rnacentral:rRNA from 1 species